UCAUACUGAUCGGAAUACGCAUGCGACGCUAUCUAACAUGAGUGGGACCGGAGUGAUGUACGUAACCUAUACAAGAGAAGGAGGAAAGCCCACGCAAGUCUACUACACCUUGGAUUCGUGGCAUCCCGAUGAGAAAUGUUUUAUUCUCACACGCAGCGUUAAAAACGGAGACAAGUAUGAAUGUGAACUUCAUUUGUGGCUGGAGAAGUUGAAAGGUAGGCAUGAAAACUGUGACGCAAGGUACAAACAGAUCUGUCAGCAAGGAUCAGAAGUUUUCUCGGAACAUGAUUGCAUGUAGAGCAAAAGAAAAAAAUGGGAGCGCUGUUUUCAGUUCUUUUCUACUAGGCAGCAAGAAAUGGACGCUUGUCGGUGUUCCUAUGAAUAAAACGUAAAAAAU
rnacentral:lncRNA from 1 species